GGCUUCGUACCCCAGUAUGUAGAGGUAUUGCUUGUUGCGCAAAAUGCCUGGAGUUCGAGUCCCGGUGCAGUUG
rnacentral:tRNA from 1 species